AGGAGAGAUUGCGCAUAUUAGGAAUUCUUCAUUGACAAAAUCAAAGGCAGUAAUUCAUAUAUGUUGUGCUAUUAUUAAAUCCAUUUUACAGAUGCAUAUCUGGUGACCCCUGAGACUUCCUCAAAGCCUUCCUUCUUGUACCAAUAAUGAGACUCUCCAAGAGUCCCAGACCACAAAUUAAGAAAUAAUGCCAAUAAUCUCAGAAGAGGCAGAAUAUUUCCUACAUCCCAAAGGUCUAAGGAUGAAAGAGCAUAUACAAAUGUUACAUAGGCUUCUCGUACUCAUGAAGUACCAUGGGGGAAGAGAAUGGGGUAUAAAGGCACCUCCCUGAAAAUCUCUUCUAGAGCUAGUCUGAGAUUAAUUGGAAGCAUACUGGGGCAGAGUUGGGGAUGGGAGGGUGGAGGGAAGUGUGAGAUGGUAGAAUAUCCCUAACUGCAGUCACUUGGGCAAGCUGCCACAGACCCCAGGGACGGUACACCAUUUAUAGCAUAAGCUUAAUACAUUGUAAAGAGAAGAAGCUUCAGUGGAUUUGUCAGUGGAGUGAACAGUACAUUCUCAUAGCCAGAUAAUGCAGAAAUAAAGUGCAUUUGUAACAGACAACAAAAGGAUUAUCCCCCAUUCAUUUCAAAGCACCCUUCAUUCCACUCAGGGAUUACAUUUUUCUUUACUUAUCUUGCAAAUUUUUUUCUUCUUCCUGAAGACUCAUGGUUUAUGGCAAAAACCAAACUGUGGCUGGUCCCUUUAAAUGUACUGAUUAUGGUGUUGGCAAGGGAACAAUAGACAUUCCCAAGGAUACUAGGGGUUCCCUGAUCAAUUGCUUGGAGACAGGGUAUCGAAGGGACUAACUCCACACUGCCAAAUGAUGUCCUCUCAUGGUCAAAGUGAAGGGCAGAAUUGGAGUGAGUUGGGGUUAGAAAUUAUAUCACAAAGAAGCAGGAUCUUCAGAACAAUGCAGAAUUAAGCAGGUCUCUUUGAACCUAACCUAAACAAAAAGGCCUCCUUAAGGUCAAGGUGUAGGACCCUCACAUAUCCCUGAAGCUUUCCAUUGAUGCCUAUCAAGAUGUUUCAAAGUAUCACUGAUGGUCACAGAUGAGAGUUCUGAAGGGGAAAAGCACCACAAGGCUGAGAAAUAGUCUGCAAUGCAUUGGGGAGAUGGAAAAAAGGGAGCAGAUGUCCUGGAAAAAUGCCACAGAUUGCAUUGGAUCCUGCCCACUGACUCAUUCUGUUGGCAGGAGAAGUCAAGUGAACUGAUUGCUGCAACUCUGCUCAAGCCCCCCAAUUAAAAGGUUGCUUGGGCAAGAUGGUGAUUCCAUUCACUCGAGUAUCCCCUUGCACUUACCUCAUGCAGCUAUAACUAGUUUUUGGAAUUUAUUGUUGUGUGCUUAUGUCUUAUUCAUAGAUAGAUGGCUUUCCUCUCCCUUCAUAGUUCUCCUCAAGGGAACCCAUUUCCUGUGCUCUGAUUAAUCAUAUUCUCUGCAUCCAGUGGGAGCUUUAGUAAGAAAAAAUUUACCAGUGAUUUUCAUUGUAUGUCAUUUCUGCCUUGUUCCUUUCUGUUUUUCAGAUUGCACUGAGACACAGAGAUCUAAGAAGAGGACAAAGAUGGGGGUGUUCAAGACUACUGAUGUUGUUGAGACUUUAGAAACUUUCAGGGAGAGUUGACAAGAUGUAAUCUUCACACUGAUGACAAAGAGAUGCCUUCUUUCUCCCAGGAGUUUCUUACAGAGGAACCAGACAGGCACUGGCCUGAAAAUUCUGCACCUUCAGCAAACACCCUUCUGAUCUCUUGGGAAGCUAAUAUUGCUAAAGAGUCAGAAGAAAGUAUAAGGAUGGCUCAUGGAUAGGAAUAAACUAGUUAGUAGGCAACAGUACUGUAGGAGGCCACCUGGGAUCUCUGUGGUCUAGCUGACAUAUUUCAGUGGUGCCAAAGUACUGGAUUCCUCAUCUUCUCAAGCAAAUGAACUGCAAGUACCAUUCACAGCACUUCAUUCAGGAAGGCAACAAUGACCAACAAUCCAUAGGGAGUGAAUACAGAGUAGAAAUGCUGGUCAAAGGUGGCUUAGUUGUUUCAUAAGGUAGCUUAGUAGCAAGUAAAGGACAUGCAUUUA